rnacentral:rRNA from 1 species
UACGAAGGGGGCUAGCGUUGCUCGGAAUCACUGGGCGUAAAGCGCACGUAGGCCGAUUGUUAAGUCAGGUGUGAAAUCUCGGGGCUCAACCCCCGAAACUGCACUUGAUACUGCCUUGCUCGAGUACUGGAGAGGAGAUUGGAAUUUACGGUGUAGCAGUGAAAUGCGUAGAUAUCGUAAGGAAGACCAGUGGCGAAGGCGAAUCUCUGGACAGUUACUGACACUGAGGCACGAAGGCCAGGGGAGCAAACGGG